rnacentral:rRNA from 1 species
UACGGAGGGAGCUAGCGUUGUUCGGAAUUACUGGGCGUAAAGCGCACGUAGGCGGCUUUGUAAGUUAGAGGUGAAAGCCCGGGGCUCAACUCCGGAAUUGCCUUUAAGACUGCAUCGCUAGAAUUGUGGAGAGGUAAGUGGAAUUCCGAGUGUAGAGGUGAAAUUCGUAGAUAUUCGGAAGAACACCAGUGGCGAAGGCGGACUUACUGGACACAUAUUGACGCUGAGGUGGACGAAAGCGUGGGGAGCAAACAGG